rnacentral:rRNA from 1 species
AUGCUGAGAUAUGACCUCGAGGACCAGCUCUCGGUCAUCUACGCUUACGAGGAGGCCUAUUGGCAGCUGCACGGCACCCAACGGUGGGUGCUCCAGGGUGACGCCAACACGGCCUACUUCCAGGCGAUCGCCAAUGGCCGGCGCCAUCGCAAUUCCAUCCACUCCCUAUGGGAAGGCGAUACUCAGCUUGUUCGCCCCUCGGACAUCCGAGCCCACGUAGACGGCUUUUAUAAAGCCCUUUUCACCCCCACCCCUCGGGGUGGGGCCGCGCUAGCCCCCGAUACCUGG